CACGUAGGCGGAUCAGAAAAGUCAGAGGUGAAAUCCCAGGGCUCAACCUUGGAACUGCCUUUGAAACUCCUGAUCUUGAGGUCGAGAGAGGUGAGUGGAAUUCCGAGUGUAGAGGUGAAAUUCGUAGAUAUUCGGAGGAACACCAGUGGCGAAGGCGGCUUACUGGACGGUAACUGACGUUGAGGCUCGAAAGCGUGGGGAGCAAACA
rnacentral:rRNA from 1 species